rnacentral:rRNA from 1 species
GAUGAACGCUGGCGGCGUGCCUAAUACAUGCAAGUCGAGCGAAUGGAUUGAGAGCUUGCUCUUAUGAAGUUAGCGGCGGACGGGUGAGUAACACGUGGGUAACCUGCCCAUAAGACUGGGAUAACUCCGGGAAACCGGGGCUAAUACCGGAUAACAUUUUGAACCGCAUGGUUCGAAAUUGAAAGGCGGCUUCGGCUGUCACUUAUGGAUGGACCCGCGUCGCAUUAGCUAGGUGGUGAGGUAACGGCUCACCAAGGCAACGAUGCGUAGCCGACCUGAGAGGGUGAUCGGCCAGACUGGGACUGAGACACGGCCCAGACUCCUACGGGAGGCAGCAGUAGGGAAUCUUCCGCAAUGGACGAAAGUCUGACGGAGCAACGCCGCGUGAGUGAUGAAGGCUUUCGGGUCGUAAAACUCUGUUGUUAGGGAAGAGCAAGUGCUAGUUGAAUAAGCUGGCACCUUGACGGUACCUAACCAGAGAGCCACGGCUAACUACGUGCCAGCCGCCGCUGUAA